AAUGCGUAGAUAUUAGGAGGAACACCAGUGGCGAAGGCGGCUCUCUGGACUGUAACUGACGCUGAGGCACGAAAGCGUGGGGAGCAAACAGGAUUAGAUACCCUGGUAGUCCACGCUGUAAACGAUGAGUACUAGGUGUCGGGGGUUACCCCCCUCGGUGCCGCAGCUAACGCAUUAAGGACUCCGCCUGGGAAGUACGCUCGCAAGAGUGAAACUCAAAG
rnacentral:rRNA from 1 species